GAUGAAGAACGCAGCGAAACGCGAUACUUGGUGUGAAUUGCAGAAUCCCGUGAACCAUCGAGUCUUUGAACGCAAGUUGCGCCCGAAGCCAUCAGGUUGAGGGCACGUCUGCCUGGGCGUCACAUAUCGUUGCCCAAUGCCUAUUGCAGUGCAAUAGGAAUUUCUAGGGCGAAUGAUGGCUUCCCGUGAGCGUUGUUGCCUCGCGGUUGGUUGAAAAUCGAGUCCUUGGUAGGGUGUGCCAUGGUAGAUGGUGGUCGAGUUAGAACGAUACCGAUCAUGUGCAUGCUCCCCAAAAUAUGGCCUCUAUGACCCACACGCGUCUUUUGACGCUCAUGACGAGACCUCAGGUCAGGCGGGGCUACCCGCUGAAUUUAAGCAUAUCAAUAAGCGGAGGA
rnacentral:misc_RNA from 1 species